GACGGAGAGUCUGUCACUGAGGGAUGUCUGCCUGCGGCGCAAUAGCUAGUUGGUGGGGUAACGGCCCACCAAGGCGACGAUGCGUAUCCCACCUGAGAGGGUGAACGGCCACACUGGGACUGAGACACGGCCCAGACUCCUACGGGAGGCAGCAGUAGGGAAUCUUCCGCAAUGGGCGAAAGCUGACGGAG
rnacentral:rRNA from 1 species